AAAAAGGUAAGCUAAUAAAGCUACUGGGUUCAUACCCCAUUUAUGAAAGUCCUAAUCUUUCCCUUUUUA
rnacentral:tRNA from 1 species